UUUUGAUAUCUUGUUGUUUUGCUACUCUCACUUUGGAGUUCGGAUGGUGUCUAGCAACGUUGGGUACCUCGUUUCUUGUGUGAGCGAGUGGUUGCUGUUUACGACGUGUUCAUAUAUCGAUUUGUAGUGCUGUAAUGUGCAAAUUAGCGGACUUUAUAGCGGCUCUCUAUUUUCCGUCGUUGUCUUUCGAGCAGCGCCUGUUGUUCCGGUACAAACCGAGUUGAAUGAAUCGCCACAGCCCCAACGUACGUGUAUAUCGCGCAGUGUUGACCAAGUCCAGCAGGAAUUCUGGCAUGGUAUGUGGCUGCACGGAGGAUUCCGAAAAAGAAAAACAACAUGGCUAAUAGGAUGUUGCUGCCCAGGGAGUCCUGGCCGAAGAGGUUUAUUCAUUCCAGAAGCAAGAAUUGUACAAUUGUAAGGCGAAUGGAAAUAAACUGACAUCGACUGA